rnacentral:sRNA from 1 species
UGUUAGGGGUGAAAGGAACGUAGCAACGUGUAGAAAUGGGGCUGUUGAGAAGAAGAGGAGAAAGGCGAAGGUGAAGAAGAGAAGGGCUAUCCCUGUUAUUUGGCCGGUUGACGAGGAGGGGGAAGGGUGGCUUGUUGUGCAGAAUGGACUGACUUGAUAUUUCUAACGUAAUGUAUGCAUAUGUAUAUAUAUCUACAUGGGACUGGGAUACAGAUGAGAGAUAGAGUGAAAGUGGACAGAGGAACCUGGGAACUGAAAAAGAUCAACUGUUCUGUGCAUGUAUGUAUGUAUGUAUGCACAUGUACGUAUGUACACAUGUCUAUUCGCAACGGUA